rnacentral:rRNA from 1 species
CAGUCGCCGCGGUAAUACGGAGGGUGCAAGCGUUAAUCGGAAUUACUGGGCGUAAAGCGCACGCAGGCGGUCUGUCAAGUCAGAUGUGAAAUCCCCGGGCUUAACCUGGGAACUGCAUUUGAUACUGGUUAGCUAGAGUGUGGGAGAGGAUGGUAGAAUUCCAGGUGUAGCGGUGAAAUGCGUAGAUAUCGGAAGGAACACCUGUGGCGAAAGCGGCUCACUGGACCAUUACUGACGCUGAUGCACGAAAGCUAGGGGAGCAAACAGGAUUAGAUACCCCAGUAGUCCCUGUCUCUUAUAC